rnacentral:rRNA from 1 species
GCCCUUAGAGUUUGAUCAUGGCUCAGAUUGAACGCUGGCGGCAGGCUUAACACAUGCAAGUCGAGCGGUAACAUAUCUAGCUUGCUAGAUGGUGACGAGCGGCGGACGGGUGAGUACAACUUGGGAAUCUGCCUUAUGGAGGGGGACAACCACUGGAAACGGUGGCUAAUACCGCAUGAUACCUUCGGGUCAAAGUGUGGGACCUUCGGGCCACACGCCAUAAGAUGAGCCCAAGCGAGAUUAGGUAGUUGGUGAGGUAAAGGCUCACCAAGCCCGCGAUCUCUAGCUGGUCUGAGAGGAUGAUCAGCCACACUGGGACUGAGACACGGCCCAGACUCCUACGGGAGGCAGCAGUGGGGAAUAUUGGGCAAUGGGGGCAACCCUGAUCCAGCCAUGCCGCGUGUGUGAAGAAGGCCUUCGGGUUGUAAAGCACUUUCAGUGGUGAGGAAGGGUGUUGUGUUAAUAGCACAGCACAUUGACGUUAGCCACAGAAGAAGCACCGGCUAACUCCGUGCCAGCAGCCGCGGUAAUACGGAGGGUGCGAGCGUUAAUCGGAACUACUGGGCGUAAAGCGCACGUAGGCGGUUUGUUAAGCUAGAUGUGAAAGCCCCGGGCUUAACCUGGGAAUUGCAUUUAGAACUGGCAAGCUAGAGUUUUGAAGAGGGUGGUAGAAUUUCCUGUGUA